GACGAACGCUGGCGGCGUGCUUAACACAUGCCAGUCGAACGGAAAGGCCCUGCUUUUGUGGGGUGCUCGAGUGGCGAACGGGUGAGUAACACGUGAGUAACCUGCCCUUGACUUUGGGAUAACUUCAGGAAACUGGGGCUAAUACCGGAUAGGAGCUCCUGCUGCAUGGUGGGGGUUGGAAAGUUUCGGCGGUUGGGGAUGGACUCGCGGCUUAUCAGCUUGUUGGUGGGGUAGUGGCUUACCAAGGCUUCGACGGGUAGCCGGCCUGAGAGGGUGACCGGCCACAUUGGGACUGAGAUACGGCCCAGACUCCUACGGGAGGCAGCAGUGGGGAAUAUUGCACAAUGGGCGGAAGCCUGAUGCAGCAACGCCGCGUGCGGGAUGACGGCCUUCGGGUUGUAAACCGCUUUCGCCUGUGACGAAGCGUGAGUGACGGUAAUGGGUAAAGAAGCACCGGCUAACUACGU
rnacentral:rRNA from 1 species